CCUACGGGAGGCAGCAGUGGGGAAUAUUGGACAAUGGGCGAAAGCCUGAUCCAGCAAUGCCGCGUGUGUGAAGAAGGCCUGCGGGUUGUAAAGCACUUUCAGUUGGCAAGAUGAUGACGUUACCAACAGAAGAAGCACCGGCUAAAUCCGUGCCAGCAGCCGCGGUAAUACGGAUGGUGCGAGCGUUAAUCGGAAUUACUGGGCGUAAAGCGCGCGUAGGCGGCUAAGUCAGUCAGAAGUGAAAGCCCCGGGCUCAACCUGGGAAUUGCUUUUGAUACUGCUUAGCUAGAGUUUGGUAGAGGAUAGUGGAAUUCCAGGUGUAGCGGUGAAAUGCGUAGAUAUCUGGAGGAACAUCAGUGGCGAAGGCGACUGUCUGGACCAAAACUGACGCUGAGGUGCGAAAGCGUGGGUAGCAAACAGGAUUAGAUACCCUGGUAGUCCACGCCGUAAACGAUGUCAACUAGCCGUCGGGUCUAUUUACAGACUUGGUGGCGCAGCUAACGCGAUAAGUUGACCGCCUGGGGAGUACGGCCGCAAGGUUAAAACUCAAAGGAAUUGACGGA
rnacentral:rRNA from 1 species